rnacentral:lncRNA from 1 species
AAGCUUCUUGCUGGUGUGCGGGCUAUGGAGAGUUGAUAAAUCCGUUGGUUUUCUUAUUUGUUUCUCAAUCCAACUUCAUCAAGCUUCAUUUUCCUGCAAAUUCAUACGCUUUCGAUCUCCAUUAUCUCUAAAUCCAAGCAAAGAUUUUUAUUUUUUUAUUUUUUUUGAAUUUCUUCCAUUCUUGUUUUUUCUUCGAUUUUUUAAAGGCUUUUAUUUUAUUGGUUGGCAGUUGAUUUUCUACGUUUCUGUUUUGUCUUUUAAUAAAUAGAAAUCCUCAGCUUUUAGAUCCUCUUCUGGGUUUUACUUUGUUUUUCAUUUAGAUUUGUUUCAAUAAUUUACUUUUUAACUCUCAUUUUAAAGCCUUGGAUUUUUGUUUCUUCAUGCAACAAGUUUAUCAUUUUCUUUUUAAUGUUGCCAAAAUCUAGGGAAAGCGAAAUCCAGAAACAACCAGAGGAAGUAAUUUCCAUGUUAGAUCCAGCUCCAGCAUACAACAAUCAAAACUAAACUCGAAAAGGAAACAAUUAUAUAAAAAACUUAGCCUUUUAGUAUAAAGCUAAAAUAAGUAAAUAACUAACAUACCCAAAAGGUUCUUUGUUUUUAUUUAGCUAAAUUGCCAGAUUUGCAUCAAACUCAACAAGCCAUUUUUCACUAUCAAUCCUAUUCAACAAAAUCAAGGGGGGUUGAACCCUAAAAAGAGAAGAAAGGUGGGUUUACCAACAAGAAGAACAAGGCGUUUAGCAGGAGGAGAGAAGCAGAAUCUGUACCCUUUGAGGAGAUGCAAAGGGCUGCCAAUUUGGGGAAAUUGGGGGGAAAAAUAAAGGGAAUCGGGGUAGGGGAGAAAUGGUUUGGGAAAAAUAAAAUGGGGAAAAAAGAAAGAUU